UACGUAGGGUGCGAGCGUUGUCCGGAAUUAUUGGGCGUAAAGAGCUCGUAGGCGGUCUGUCGCGUCGGAUGUGAAAACCCGGGGCUCAACCCCGUGCCUGCAUUCGAUACGGGCAGACUAGAGUUCGGUAGGGGAGACUGGAAUUCCUGGUGUAGCGGUGAAAUGCGCAGAUAUCAGGAGGAACACCGGUGGCGAAGGCGGGUCUCUGGGCCGAUACUGACGCUGAGGAGCGAAAGCGUGGGGAGCGAACAGG
rnacentral:rRNA from 1 species